rnacentral:lncRNA from 1 species
ACAGGGUAAGGCUUGUCCCGAGGCCCAGCUUUUACAAGGAGUUGCCCCACAUUUGAUGCUUCACCUUGAACUUCGUCCUUGUUUAGGAGAGAGCGCCCUCUGCUGAAGGAGCCUGAUUCAGAGACUCGGUUCUGCCAUCUGGUCUAAGAUUUUCCCACCUCACAGAUCACCUCCUGCCACUUGUGCUUAUGCGUUGCACUAGCUCCGAGCCCUUCUUCUCCUCGUAGUUCUCUUGGCCUUCAAAAUUGGGUUUAUUUCUGAAGAUGAGGAUUCCGCAUAGAAGCCUCAUUCACUUCCUUUCUCUUCCCUAUUAUCUCUAAGUAUGUUUCUUGUCUAAGGAAGGCUCUUACUUCCCAUCCUCCCUCCCCCGAGUAAAAAUAGCUCUGUGUUUAAGAAACACAGUUGUACCUAGGGGUAAGAGUCAGGCUGUAAUAUGGAAUACAUGGAGGAUAUGAUGACUCCUGGGAGGUAUAAGCAGAGCUGAGCCCCUUCCUAAAUCACUCUUCCAUGAUGACUCCUCCUUUGUACAGUGGUGGCUGACAUAAAUGCAGCCAUACUGCGUGCCAAGCUCCUGACUGUUUGCCUUAAGCACGUCUGGUCCCCAAGCAUUUUAGUAAAGGAUGUUCACCUUGUACCAGUGUUGGCUAGUUACACAGAUGAGCAACCCAGAGUCCAGGGAGCCCUGUCUGAGCCAGGCAGGUGUGAACCCAGGCAGCGCCUGGCCCUCCUGCCUCACCAACUUUAUCAUGUAUUUUUCUUGUUACCCUCCUUUGGCUUUGGUUUGCCAGCUCAAGCAUAUGUCAUAGUUUUUCAUAUCUUUGUAUAUAUUGUAAUUGAGGGCUGUUAGCAUACAAAAGAGCAGACUUUUAAAUCAAACUUUGGAGGUUCAAAUCCUAGCCCUUCUCAUGGUUAUCCUCCUCUGACAACAGCCUUCACCUUGUUUCUGACUUCCUCCUCUGUAGAAAGGGAAAGACAGAUUACGAUCUGUCACCUAGGGUUUUGCAGGAAUUAAAUGAGUUAAUACAUAAAGAACUCAAACCAGCAAUUGCCAAAUAAGCUCUUGAAAAUGUUAAUCAGCUGUGUUAAAUGUCAGGUACCUGCUGCGUUCUUUGUUCGUUCCGAGCCUGCUCAUGACUGAUUCAUUUAGUGCUGGAAUCAGACUUGGGCACAUUUCUCACUGAAUUGUUUUUGUUCACCGUAUGAUUUUUUUCUGUUAGUUUGAAGCCGGCAGUCCCUAGGAAGCUUUCUGGACUAGUUUCUAUUCCACGAAGUUUGUGGUGAUUGCAACAGGCAAGGAUAUUUAUUCGAGGGGAGCUCCUGUCUAGGCUGUGUGUGUCUUCCUGAUCUUUUUUCCUAGUACUAGGAACACACAGUUCCUACUGGCUGCUGGCUUUAGCAUAUCACCCAUAUCUGGGUACAUUGCUUGAUGCAGGUGUCAAUCAACUUCUUCAGCUUGGAGCUGGUUACCCUUGCUUUAUAGAUGAGGAAAUGGCAGUUUUUCCAGUAGCAGACCCAGGGAUAGUCCCUGGAACUUUACUGUACAUUUUCAAGUCUUUUGGCGAAGGUGGCUACUUUUCCUGCUGCCAUUUUCAUAAAAGAACAUCUUUAUCACGGGCUUUGGCGUUAGAUAAUUAUGUUUACACUGCAACUUAUAUUUAUGGGACUCGAGGCAGUCUGUGGUGUUCAGGGAGUCAAGGUGCACCUGUGCGUAGAACAAACCCCUUUGCUGCACCCCACAUAGUUGGGCUGAAGUUUGACUUUUGUGGACACAGGGUCACAAGAUCAAGCUUACGCUAGCAACUGUUUUGAACUGUGAUUUGGGCAAGAUAGCUAUCAAGAGUAUUGGUUCCCUCUUCUUGAGUUGCUGUGGAUGCCUUUGUGGGCACAAGCCUUACAGCUCGUGUGGACACACAAAACUCUCCAGGAUGCAAACUAAGAAGCCCUCAGACUGGCAUACAUCCUGAAGGUCUAAGCUCUGAGAGAUGUGUAUAAGUUCUGCUGUUUUGUUUUUGUCAAGCACGUAGGAUGAGCCCAUGAGACUAUUAAUUGUGCUUUAAGAACUAUUAAACGUGCCUUAGUGAAUGAGAUUUCAGCUGGUAACAACUGACUGCAGCAACUUUUACUUUUCUAAAAGGAACUCAUCUUUACCUGGACCUAGAACUGUUAGUAUUAUAUGAAGCAGUGUUACUUACAGCUACUCAGUGAAAUAACUCAUUAUUAUAACACAUGAUCUAGCUAGGAAACAAAUAGCUCACACUCCUAACUUAGGGGCAGCUUGUUCUAAUAAAUAUAAAAGCCUGUUGUAGAUAACAGUGUGAGCUAUCAGGAUAGCUCGUUAAUUUGUUCACCUUUAGUUUGCAAGCCUUUCUCAUAAAUAGCUGAAAAGAUGGCAUUUUUUCUUGCGCUUGUGCGGGUCUCAUCAGCUUUACCUUCUUCUGAAGACUGGUCAGUUCCUCCCUGGCUAAGUCAAGCAAGGCGUGUCUGCAUGUGGAGCGUCUGCCCUGCUUCAUGAUUAACAUAGAAAGGCCGUGCAUGAUUUUCUUGUUCUUUGGAGCAAAGAUGAGGUUACUUCAUGGUCAAGAGGAGAGGCUCACGGUCCUCACCAGCUUCCUUGUCAUUUGUAGUUAGCCUCACUCCUGACUGAGCCAUCCGGACUCUGACAAACAGGGUUUCCUGUUGUAAAAAGGCUCUCUCCAUGAGGCUGAGUGAUGAAAAGUUUCUCCAAGGAAGCCAUUGUUUUCCACAAAUAUAUCAAAAGCAAUUUUAAAAAAAAUUAAGCCACAUUUCUUAGGUUUGUAUAGGUGUAUAAAACUCAGGGCUGAAACAGGCUGGCCUUACUGCUGCAUCCAUCCCCUGGCCUCUUGUGGGACUUGAAACCAUUUGCAAAGGCACAAGAAGCUUGCUUGUGUGUUUCUGAAGAAGACAGGACCUAGUUUUUUUUGUUUUGUUUUUUGUUUUGUUUUGUUUUUUUUUUUUAAAGAUUUGGAAAUAAUGGUGGCUAAGAAGAUACCAUUGUUGUUUGUUUGUUUUUUAAUAUAUAUUUUCAAAUUGAAGUAUACUGAAACCUUAAGCCAAUUCGAUCUGGACCUAAGCUCUUGCCUUAAAGCACAGAAGAGCAAAGCUGAGCUAGAUUUUGGCUGCACAGGAGGAGGGAGAUCUCCUAAGAAGACCCCACAGUAGCACCAAGUGUAGAGGGGCUCAGCAGCAAUUGGGAGCAAGAAGCCAAGGAAAUAGCUAUUCUUCUAGACCCCUUCCCGAUGGAAGUCAGCUGUCAACCAGUACAGUCCAGGUAGAAUAGAUACCUCCAAACAAGCCCUGGGAGUCUUUACCACUGGUAGAUUCUCGUCAUCAAAAGAUAUUUUGGAGGAAAAAGAAGAAACCAGAGCC